UAAUUAAAUAUGUAUAUUUAGUAUAACGUGCUGGUGAAAGAUAACGGAAACGGAAAGAAACUAAUUCAAACAGUUCGAUGUAAAGAUUAUGACAGUGUACGGGAGGCUGAGAGGAAGAGGCCGGGGUUUGAUAAAUCCUCGGAUCUUGAAUGCAGGCGGAGAUCCACUAUAACUGUCCAAGGACGCCCACUGCCAAAAAGAAGACAUUCCUACGUAAUAGGAGGUAGGGAUAUCUGAGCCAGCGAUUUAAAAAAUUCAAGAA